rnacentral:rRNA from 1 species
GACGAACGCUGGCGGCGUGCCUAAUACAUGCAAGUCGAGCGAAGUUUUUCUGGUGCUUGCACUAGAAAAACUUAGCGGCGAACGGGUGAGUAACACGUAAAGAACCUGCCUCAUAGACUGGGACAACUAUUGGAAACGAUAGCUAAUACCGGAUAACAGCAUUAACUGCAUGGUUGAUGUUUAAAAGUUGGUUUUGCUAACACUAUGAGAUGGCUUUGCGGUGCAUUAGCUAGUUGGUGGGGUAAAGGCCUACCAAGGCGACGAUGCAUAGCCGACCUGAGAGGGUGAUCGGCCACACUGGGACUGAGACACGGCCCAGACUCCUACGGGAGGCAGCAGUAGGGAAUCUUCCGCAAUGGGCGAAAGCCUGACGGAGCAACGCCGCGUGAGUGAAGAAGGAUUUCGGUUCGUAAAGCUCUGUUGUUAGGGAAGAAUGAUUGUGUAGUAACUAUACACAGUAGAGACGGUACCUAACCAGAAAGCCACGGCUAACUACGU